GACGAACGCUGGCGGCGUGCUUAACACAUGCAAGUCGAACGGAAAGGCCUGCUUUCCCUUGUGGAUUGCGGGUACUCGAGUGGCGAACGGGUGAGUAACACGUGAGUGAUCUGCCCCCAACUUGGGUAUAAGCCUGGGAAACUGGGUCUAAUUCCCGAUAGGACUGCAGGGUGGUGCCUGUGGUGGAAAACGAUUUUCUAGUGGUUGGGGAUGAGCUCGCGGCCUAUCAGCUUGUUGGUGGGGUAAUGGCCUACCAAGGCGGCGACGGGUAGCCGGCCUGAGAGGGUGGACGGCCACAUUGGGACUGAAAUACGGCCCAGAGUCCUACGGGAGGCAGCAGUGGGGAAUAUUGCACAAUGGGCGGAAGCCUGAUGCAGCAACGCCGCGUGGGGGAUGACGGCCUGCGGGUUGUAAACUCCUUUCGACCGCGAGGAAGCCACCUGGUUGGAAGGGUGGUGACGGUAGUGGUAGAAGAAGCACCGGCUAACUACGUG
rnacentral:rRNA from 1 species